CAGUCGCCACGGUAAUACGUAGGGUGCGAGCGUUAAUCGGAAUUACUGGGCGUAAAGCGUGCGCAGGCGGUUUUGUAAGACAGGCGUGAAAUCCCCGGGCUCAACCUGGGAAUGGCGCUUGUGACUGCAAAGCUAGAGUGCGGCAGAGGGGGAUGGAAUUCCGCGUGUAGCAGUGAAAUGCGUAGAUAUGCGGAGGAACACCGAUGGCGAAGGCAAUCCCCUGGGCCUGCACUGACGCUCAUGCACGAAAGCGUGGGGAGCAAACAGGAUUAGAUACCCCCGUAGUCCCUGUCUCUUAUAC
rnacentral:rRNA from 1 species